UGGGGAAUAUUGCACAAUGGGCGCAAGCCUGAUGCAGCCAUGCCGCGUGUAUGAAGAAGGCCUUCGGGUUGUAAAGUACUUUCAGCGGGGAGGAAGGGAGUAAAGUUAAUACCUUUGCUCAUUGACGUUACCCGCAGAAGAAGCACCGGCUAACUCCGUGCCAGCAGCCGCGGUAAUACGGAGGGUGCAAGCGUUGUCCGGAUUUAUUGGGCGUAAAGCGAGCGCAGGCGGUUUCUUAAGUCUGAUGUGAAAGCCCCCGGCUCAACCGGGGAGGGUCAUUGGAAACUGGGAGACUUGAGUGCAGAAGAGGAGAGUGGAAUUCCAUGUGUAGCGGUGAAAUGCGUAGAUAUAUGGAGGAACACCAGUGGCGAAGGCGGCUCUCUGGUCUGUAACUGACGCUGAGGCUCGAAAGCGUGGGGAGCAAACAGG
rnacentral:rRNA from 1 species